rnacentral:rRNA from 1 species
UACGGAGGGUGCAAGCGUUAAUCGGAAUUACUGGGCGUAAAGCGUGCGCAGGCGGUUUUGUAAGUCUGUCGUGAAAUCCCCGGGCUCAACCUGGGAAUUGCGAUGGAGACUGCAAGGCUAGAAUCUGGCAGAGGGGGGUAGAAUUCCACGUGUAGCAGUGAAAUGCGUAGAGAUGUGGAGGAACACCGAUGGCGAAGGCAGCCCCCUGGGUCAAGAUUGACGCUAAUGCACGAAAGCGUGGGGAGAAAACAGG